rnacentral:lncRNA from 1 species
AUGACCCAUAUGACAGGGCCCUUGCUCCAUCUGCCCAUGAAUGACACACCAUCCACAUCCUCAUUCCUUUCAGCUCCAGACCACGCAACAGCAAAACUGAAGAUCAGGGUGGGAUAUCAAGGAAGAAUUUGUAUAAAGAAAAAACUGAAUUCUUUCUUUUUCUUUCUUUCUUUUUUUGGGGGGCCUUUUUUUGUCUUUUUAGGGCUGCAUCCAGGCUAGGGGUGCAAUCAGAGCUACACUUGCUGGCCUACACCACAGCCACAGCAACUCGGGAUCCGAGCCAUGUCUGCAACCUACACUACAGCUCACAGCAACACCAGAUCCUUAACCCACUGAGCAAGGCCAGGGAUUGAACCUGUGUCCUCAUGGAUGCUAAUCAGAUUCGUUUCCACUGAGCCUUGAUGGAAACUUGGAGAAAACUGAUUUCUUAGCAGAGUCAGGUAGAUUACAUAGCACCAGAUUUAAUUAAAUCAGAUGCUCAGAUUUUAUGAACUUGUUAGGGACCUUCAUAUGAAGAAAACAUCACUGAGCACAGAAGAGAAGAUGUUCUAACUCUAUCAAAAAAAUUGGAUUAUAUAAUGUCACAAUGCAUAGAAAGAUGCAAUUAGGCAACAAAUACAAAUUCCUUUAAUGUUGUUACAUGGAGCUGCUGCAUGGGGACAGCACUGAGCAAUAGACUCAGCAGCACUGGCGGGGAGGGUUGUAGCUGCUCUGACCUUUGAAAGCUUGCUGGCAAUGACAGCAGUAAUCAGAGUGAGGAGUCCAAGGGUCCGUUGCAUAGCUCCCUUUGCCACAUACAUGAGUUUUUUUAAUUAACUUUUUUAUUCAAGUAUUGUUAAUUUACAAUGUUGUGUUAAUUUCUGUUGUACAUCAAAGUGAUUCAGUUAUGCACACACACAUGUAAAUAUACCCUUUUAAAAAUAUUCUUUUCCAUUUUCCUUAAUCAUAGGACACUGAAUAUAGUUCUCUGUGCUAUACAGUAGGACUUUGUUUUUAUCCUCUCCAUGUAUUAGGGCUUAUCUCUGCUAAGCCCAACUUCCUAGUCUAUCCCUCCCCCAAUCCCAUCCCCCUGGGCAACCACAAAUCUCUUCUGUAUAUCUGUUUCUGUUUCAUAGAUAGGCUCAUUUGUGUCCUAGCUUGGAUUCCACAUAUAAGCAAGUGAUAUCAUCUGGUAUUUGUCUUUCUCUUUCUGACUUAUUUCACUUAGUAAGAUAAUCUCUAGUUGCAUCCGUAUUGCUGCAAGUGGCAUUAUUUCAUUCUUUAUGGCUGAGUAGUAUUCCACUGAAUAUAGGUACCACAUCUUAAUCCAUUUGUCUGUCAAUGAACAUUUAUGUGUUUCCAUCUCUUGGCUAUCGUGAAUAGUGCUGAAGUGAACAUAGGAGUGCAUGAAUCUUUUUGAAUUAUAGUUUUGUCUGGAUUUAUGCCCAGGAAUGGGAUUGCUGGAUAUGGUAACUUUAGUUUUCUUUUUUUUUUUUUGUCUUUUUUUUAGGGCUACGCUCAUGGCAUAUGGAGGUUCCCUGGCUAGGGAUCAAAUUGGAGCUGUAGCCACUGGUCUGCUCCACAGCACAGCAACAACAUAUCUAAGCCAUGUCUGUGACCUACACCACAGCUCAUGGUAACGCUGGAUCCUUAACCACUGAGCAAGGCCAGGGAUCAAACCUGAGUCAUCAUUGAUACCUGUCAGAUUAGUUCCCACUGAACUCCUAUCCUUAGUUUUCUGAGGAAGCUUCAAACUGUUUUCCAUAGUGGCUGUACCAACUUACAUUCCCACCAACAGUGUAGGAAGUUUCCCUUUUCUCCAUAUCCUCUCUAGAAUUUGUUAUUUGUGGACUUUUUAAUGAUGGCCAUCCUGACCAGUGUGAAGUGGUGCUUCAUUGUAGUUUUGAUUUGCAUUUCCCUAGUAAUUAGUGAUAUUAAGUGUAUUUUCAUGUGCUUACUGGCCAUCCAUGUGUCUUCUAUGCCAGAUAUGUCAAUUUAGGUCUUCUGCCCAUUUUUUAAUUGGGUUUUUGGGGUUUUUUUGUUGUUGAAUUGUAUGAGCUGUUUGUAUAUUUUGGAAAUUAGGCUCUUGUAGGUUACAUCACUUGCAAAUAUUUUCUCCCAUUCUGCAGAUUGUCUUUUAAUUUUUUUAUGGUUUCCUUUUCUGUGCAAAAGCUUAUAAAUUUGAUUAGGUCUCAUUUGUUUAUUUUUAUUUCUAUUGCCUUGGGAGACUGACCUAAGAAAACAUUGGUAUGAUUUAUGUCAGAGAAUAUUUUGCCUAUGAUCUCUUCCAGGAGUUUUUAUAGUGUCAUUUCUUAUGUUUAAGUAUUUAAGCCAUUUAUGAUAGAAUUUUUUUUUUUUUCUUUUUUGGUCGCCCUGUGACAUAUGGAGUUCCUGGGCCAGAAAGCAGAUGCAAGGUGCAGUUGUGACCUUUGCUGCAGCUGUAGCAAUGCCAGAUCCUUAACCCACUGUGCCGGACCAGGGAUCAAACCUGUGUCCUGGUACUCCAGAGAUGCCAGGCCAGGGAUCAAACCUGUGUCCUAGUACUCCAGCAAUGCUGCCAAUCCUGUUGUGCAACAAUAGGAACUCAUACUUAUACAUUUUUAAUACCUUUUCACAACAAUCCUGGAGAUUGUGGCCACUGUCUUGCAUACCUGUCAGAUGCAAAUGACUAGUAAUAGCUAAGGACAUUCUUAAAACUCCAGUAAAUUGAAGGUGAAUUCCCUGGUUCACCUCUCAUGUGUUCAUGCAUCUACAGACCCACGCACUAACCUAUUUCUGUAAACAUUAGGGGAUAGCUUUGAAGGUAUGAAUUCCUCAUACAGAAGUUAAUAGCAAGGACCAGUCAUACCAUUUAGUCCUGUAAAAACAUUUCAAAAGAAGAUAAAUUCCAAUGGACCCACGAUGAUUAAGGAGAGAUAAAUAGAAAACUGUCUUUCACUUUUAGUGGAAAAAAAGAAAUACGAGUGGAUUUCAUUCAGUGAGAUAAUCUUUGAGAUAAGUGUUUGGCCAUUAUCAUAAAUUGGAAAAAAAAGGUCGAUGUCAGUGAAUUUUUAUUUUUUAGAUUCUUAAUUUAGUGUUGUAAAAAUGUGUAAGUUAUUUAAGCUAAAUGUUAGAAAAACAAAAUGGUCUCUCAAGAUACUGAUUGGCCCCACAAUGACAUAACAACUCAAAUAUAUUAAUUGAGUUUAUAUGCUUAUGCAGGUCAACAUGAGGAAUGUGUGACACUUUCACCAUGUCAUCUAAAAUUUAAAUUAGUUCAUUAAAUCCUUUUAGUUGAGUGUGAAAACAUUGAAUAUAUUUUAAGCGAAAAAGGAAAACUUGACAAAUGAUAAUAUCUGUCAAAAUUUCUGAAAGAUUUUGAAUUAUUUUAUUCUGCAUGUAGGAUAUUGAAGUCAUUUAAUUCCUUUAAAUUUACUAAAAAAAAAUCCCCUGAUAUUAUAUUUUCAAGUAUUUAAUUUGACACAUAAAUUCCCUAUAUGUGCACACCUUUUAGAAAAUAAGCAAUUGAAUUCUGACAAAAUUACCAUUUUAAAAAUAAUAAGUAUUAGUAGCUGGUAAGCAUUAUAGGCAUAAAAUGUGGAAAGUGCUGGAACCUGGGAGGAAUAGAACUCAGCCUCAUUGAGAAGGCAUGUCCUUCUGACACCAACUAUGUAUCUCCUAAAAUAUAUUCGAAACUUGUAAAUGCAUUAAUCCAUCUUAAUGAAGUGAAUAGAAAUUAAGAAAAUAAUUAUAAGCACAGAUGCUUGGAACAAGUCUUUGAACUUACAAGCCAGCCAUACUGAACUACUUGCCCCCAAAUAUGGUAAUAGUGAAAUACCCAGUGGUUCAUUAUAAGAUCAAAUGUGAUAUAUUCAUUAGAUAUCAUUUUUUCCAUGAAAUUUUUAAUAACAUGAGAGUAUCUCCUUAACAUAAUAUUAAGUGGGAAAAGCAAGACACAACAUUUUUAAAAACUGAUGUGACUUCAGGAAGCACAACGAGUACCAUAUAAAAUAAACCCAAGGAGGAAUACA